rnacentral:rRNA from 1 species
GAUGAACGCUGGCGGCGUGCCUAAUACAUGCAAGUCGAGCGAACAGAUGAGGAGCUUGCUCCUCUGACGUUAGCGGCGGACGGGUGAGUAACACGUGGAUAACCUACCUAUAAGACUGGGAUAACUUCGGGAAACCGGAGCUAAUACCGGAUAAUAUAUUGAACCGCAUGGUUCAAUAGUGAAAGACGGUUUUGCUGUCACUUAUAGAUGGAUCCGCGCCGCAUUAGCUAGUUGGUAAGGUAACGGCUUACCAAGGCAACGAUGCGUAGCCGACCUGAGAGGGUGAUCGGCCACACUGGCACUGAGACACGGUCCAGACUCCUACGGGAGGCAGCAGUAGGGAAUCUUACGCAAUGGGCGAAAGCCUGACGGAGCAACGCCGCGUGAGUGAUGAAGGUCUUCGGAUCGUAAAACUCUGUUAUUAGGGAAGAACAAAUGUGUAAGUAACUAUGCACGUCUUGACGGUACCUAAUCAGAAAGCCACGGCUAACUACGUG